UGAAAAUAGUAUUCUCUCACGACUCUGGUCUUUGUUCCAAGAAAAUGCUGAGAACUCGGUUGCUCUGGUUCGCAAUGGGAUUUUCUGUGUCGGCAGCUGCAAUCGGCCACUUCGUUUGGAGAGAUCUUUUGGCUGAGAGAUACACCCUUCCAUAUCAAAUGCAGCAGGCUUUUGAUUCCCUUGAAGUUAGAGUCUCGAAUCUCGAGUCUGGCUCUCCCAUGAACUCGAAUCCGCCUCAGGUUGAAGGUUAGAUCUUACAUGUAGCUGAAAUGACUCGAUGAUAGUUCAAAUAGAGGCCGUUGCUCAGGCCAUUUGAGUUUCUGUCGUUAUAUUGGGGCAGUAUGUAUAAUUGAAGUCAUAUGCUUGUCAAGGAGUUGCCUUCAAAAAACCAUAAGCCCCUUGGGUUUUCAGAAAUUUUCCAUAGUUGAAUAAAAGAUUCUCUUAUUUUA